rnacentral:tRNA from 1 species
GUCGGAGCGGCCGGCGGGACGGCGGCGGAGGCUCCGUCGUAGCCGUAGCGGCGCUCGGCCGGGAGUCCGCGCUGCGGCUCGUACCCGCGCUCCGGCGCC